rnacentral:rRNA from 1 species
AUCUUCGGCAAUGGGGGCAACCCUGACCGAGCGACGCCGCGUGCGCGAUGAAGGCCUUCGGGUUGUAAAGCGCUUUAGUGGGGGAGAAAAGCCGAAAGGUGUGAUCUAUCCCAAAAAUAAGCACGGGCUAAGUUCGUGCCAGCAGCCGCGGUAAGACGAACCGUGCGAACGUUGUUCGGAAUCACUGGGCUUAAAGGGCGCGUAGGCGGGCUGUCAAGUCUGGGGUGAAAUCCCGCGGCUCAACCGCGGCACUGCCUCAGAUACUGACGGCCUCGAGGGAGGUAGGGGCGUGCGGAACUGUAGGUGGAGCGGUGAAAUGCGUUGAUAUCUACAGGAACUCCGGUGGCGAAAGCGGCGCGCUGGACCUCUUCUGACGCUGAGGCGCGAAAGCUAGGGGAGCAAACGGGAUUAGAUACCCCGGUAGUCCUAGCCCUAAACGAUGGGUACUAGAUAGUGGGCCUGAUAUAGCUCACUGUCGAAGUUAAAAUGCUAAGUACCCCGCCUGGGGAGUAUGGUCGCAAGGCUGAAACUCAAAGAAA